rnacentral:rRNA from 1 species
GAUGAACGCUAGCUACAGGCUUAACACAUGCAAGUCGAGGGGAAACGAUAGAGAAAGCUUGCUUUUUCUAGGCGUCGACCGGCGCACGGGUGAGUAACGCGUAUCCAACCUGCCCACCACUUGGGGAUAACCUUGCGAAAGUAAGACUAAUACCCAAUGACGUCUCUAGAAGACAUCUGAAGGAGAUUAAAGAUUUAUCGGUGAUGGAUGGGGAUGCGUCUGAUUAGCUUGUUGGCGGGGUAACGGCCCACCAAGGCGACGAUCAGUAGGGGUUCUGAGAGGAAGGCCCCCCCANAUUGGAACUGAGACACGGUCCAAACUCCUACGGGAGGCAGCAGUGAGGAAUAUUGGUCAAUGGACGAGAGUCUGAACCAGCCAAGUAGCGUGAAGGAUGACGGCCCUAUGGGUUGU